UGUCUCUAAAAACUUGAGUGGGUUUAUCACAACCAGUUACAGAUUUCUUUGUUCCUUCUCCACUCCCACUGCUUCCUUUGACUGGCAUUUG
rnacentral:sRNA from 1 species